rnacentral:rRNA from 1 species
UACGGGGGGGGCAAGCGUUGUUCGGAAUUACUGGGCGUAAAGGGCUCGUAGGCGGCCAACUAAGUCAGACGUGAAAUCCCUCGGCUUAACCGGGGAACUGCGUCUGAUACUGGAUGGCUUGAGAUUGGGAGAGGGAUGCGGAAUUCCAGGUGUAGCGGUGAAAUGCGUAGAUAUUGGGAGGAACUCCAGUGGCGAAGGCGGCUCACUGGACCGGAACUGACGCUGAUGCGCGAAAGCGUGGGGAGCAAACAGG